CCCCCCCCCCCCCCCCCCCCCCCCCCCCCCCCCCCCCCCCCCCCCCCCCCCCCCCCCCCCCCCCCCCCCCCCCCCCCCUCCGCGGGGAGCGGAGCGGGAGGGGCCCGGCGCACCUGCAGGCCGGCCCCGCCUCACGGGACCCGGCGGCGCCCCGCUCCCUCCCCCGCUGGCUUGCUCCGCUGUCGCUCCUGGAGGGUGCGGGUUCAUCCCGGGGUGCUGGGUGCGCUCGCUGGUUCCUCGAGUGUCGCGCUAAGCCCUCGCUGGCGGAGAAAGCAGAAGGGCAGCUCUCCGCGUUACAAACACUUCUGCCAGCUGUUCGGGGGGAGAGGCAUGGUGAAUUAACAAAAUUAAUGGCAGGUGAAAUUUGCAGCCCUGGGAAAGUAGCACACACUACAGGGGAAGAUGGAUGGAUCGUCAUGAAGUGAUGGCAUCAGCUCUAAAGAAAAAGGGGUGGCUCCUCGUGUUCUUGGGAGAUUCGAGCUUUUUUUCUGAAGCCCACAACUGUCAAUUUCCCACCUUAUAGCUGUCUUCCUCUAUCAAGUCAAUUGUACCUAGAAAAAGCACUCCUCGUGACUUUGCUGUAGCCUCUAAUUAUCCUCUGCUGAAAAGAAGAGGAUGCUGGUGUGGCUCCUGUUACAGAGCAAAGAGGAGGCAGAAGGUGAGUGAGGAUUAUUUAGGCCAGAACAGCAGGUUCUAUAUCCCAAGGCACAGUCUCUUAGAGUCUUCAGCUGCCCCUACUAAGUUGACCACAAUGCAACUGAUGUCAGAGACUCACAGUUCAGUCUUCAUUAUGUUGCUAUGUAGUUGUCAGGGAUUAACUUUUGUAAGGUAAAGCAUGAUCAGGCAAGUCUUAUUAAGAAAACAUGGCUGGUAGCAGUAGCAGAACUAACCUAAUAUAAGAAUACUUGCCCAGUGACACAAUG
rnacentral:lncRNA from 12 species